AGCAGCCGCGGUAAUUCCAGCUCCAAUAGCGUAUAUUAAAGUUGUUGCAGUUAAAAAGCUCGUAGUUGAAUUUCGGGAUCAAUAUUUCGGUCAUGCCGUUGGUAUGCACUGUUAUCAUUGAUUUCUCACCUUCUAAAGAACCGUAAUGCCAUUAAUUUGGUGUUACGGGGAAUUAGAACUGUUACCUUGAAAAAUUAGAGUGUUUAAAGCAGGCUCACGCUUGAAUACAUUAGCAUGGAAUAAUGAAAUAGGACAUCCGAUUCUAUUUUGUUGGUUUCUAGGAUCGAUGUAAUGAUUAAUAGGGAUAGUUGGGGGCAUUAGUAUUCAAUUGUCAGAGGUGAAAUUCUUGGAUUUAUUGAAAGACUAACUACUGCGAAAGCAUUUGCCAAGGAUGUUUUCAUUAAUCAAGAACGAAAGUUAGGGGAUCGAAGACGAUCAGAUACCGUCGUAGUCUUAACCGUAAACUAUGCCGACUAGGGAUCGGAUGAUGUUAAUUUUUAAUGUACUCA
rnacentral:rRNA from 1 species